rnacentral:rRNA from 1 species
GACGAACGCUGGCGGCGUGCUUAACACAUGCAAGUCGAGCGGUAAGGCUCCUUCGGGAGUACACGAGCGGCGAACGGGUGAGUAACACGUGAGUAAUCUGCCCUUCACUUCGGGAUAACCACCGGAAACGGUGGCUAAUACCGAAUACGACCAGUCUUCGCAUGAGGUGCUGGUGGAAAGUCUUUUCGGUGCAGGAUGUGCUCGCGGCCUAUCAGGUUGUUGGUGGGGUAAUGGCCUACCAAGGCUUCGACGGGUAGCCGGCCUGAGAGGGUGACCGGCCACACUGGGACUGAGACACGGACCAGACUCCUACGGGAGGCAGCAGUGGGGAAUAGUGGACGAUGGGCGAAAGCCUGAUCCAGCAACGCCGCGUGAGGGAUGACGGCCUUCGGGUUGUAAACCUCUUUCAGUACCGACGAAGCGCCCUGUCGGGUGGUGACGGUAGGUACAGAAGAAGGACCGGCCAACUACGUG